AUGAUGCAUUCUGCUAAAUAAAACAAAUUAUCAUGGUUCUGCUGUAUAGGUAGGUGCACGUACUGCAGUGAUUUAAAAAUAAAAGUAAAUAAAAAGUAUU